CACAGGAGGCAGCGAAGGAGCCGUGGCUCAGACCGAGGACAAUGGGAAGAAAGUAUCUAGAAAGACAAGACAGUGUUUCGAGAAGAUGGGGAGCCUAAGGCACAAAGUGGUUAAACAACCAGAGGUCCCUCAGGAAAUUGUCACAUGAGGAAUUGAAUUCAGGUCACUGCUCUCCACUUGACAGCUUCAGAACUAGAAUCCAGUGGCUCUACACUUGGCAAGAAACUACAAGUGACCUCAAUCUCUUUAAAUAUUUAAGCCAGUCCACAUUUUUUUCUUGACUUGGUAUUUAAUCAUAUGAAGAAUUUUUUUUUUGGGGGGGUGCUCUAUG